AGCGAACGUUAGCGGCGGGCCUAACACAUGCAAGUCGAGCGAGAAAAGGGCUUCGGCCCUGAGUAAAGCGGCGGACGGGUGAGUAACACGUAGGUAAUCUUCCCUUGAGCGGGGGACAAAGAGCCGAAAGGCUCGCUAAUACCGCAUACGUUUCCAGAGACCCCGGUCUUGGGAAGGAAAGCUAGGCAGCAAUGUCUGGCACGCGAGGAGGAGCGGGCGUCGCAUCAGCUAGUUGGUGGGGUAACGGCCUACCAAGGCGAAGACGCGUAGCUGGUCUGAGAGGAUGAUCAGCCACACUGGCACUGAGACACGGCCCAGACUCCUACGGGAGGCAGCAGUGGGGAAUAUUGGACAAUGGGCGCAAGCCUGAUCCAGCCACGCCGCGUGAGUGAUGAAGGCCUUCGGGUCGUAAAGCUCUGUGGGGAGGGACGAACCGCUGCAGGUUCAUAGCCUGCAGCAUGACGGUACCUCCUUAGCAAGCACCGGCUAACUUCGUGCCAGCCGCCGCAGUAAAAC
rnacentral:rRNA from 1 species